rnacentral:rRNA from 1 species
GACGAACGCUGGCGGCGUGCCUAAUACAUGCAAGUCGAACGCAGUGGGGACGGGUGAGUAACACGUGGGUAACCUCCCAUCAGAGGGGAUAACACUUGGAAACAGGUGCUAAACCGAUACUGAUGGAUGAACCCGCGGUGCAUUAGCUAGUUGGUGAGGUAACGGCUCCCCAAGGCCAAGAUGCAUAGCCGACCUUGGAGGGUGAUGGGCCACACUGGGCCUGGGACACGGACCAGACUCCUACGGGCGGAAGCAGUAGGUAAUUUUCGGAAAUGGACGAAAGUCUGACCGAGCAACGCCGCGUGAGUGAAGAAGGUGUUCGGAUCGUAAAACUCUGUAGUUAGAGAAGCGGUAUCUAACCAGAAAGCAACGGCUAACUACGUGCCAGCAGCCGCGGUAAUAC